rnacentral:lncRNA from 1 species
GACAAACCAAUGAUGAUUUAUGGACACAGAUUUUAUGUGUAAAAUGUGAAGAAUUAAAAAAAAAUGUAAUAUUCAGGAUUUUCAUUGUAUCAUAAACAUGCUUCAAUUUUAUAAGAACAAGAUUCAAACUGAAAGAUUUUUUUUUAAUUACUGAAGCAUCAAUCAGUAUAAAUAGAUCACAGUACCAAAAAUGUUGGGUAUACAUUAUUUUGACAGCCGCCACAAAGCGAAAAAAAAUACACAGACGUAUAUUGAUUAAAUGAAACAAAUAUCAAGAAACACAUUGUUGUCAGAUAUGUUAGGGAAAUUAGAUUUGUAUUAACAAAUUAAAAAUCAUAUGAACAAUUAAACAGUUAGUUUUUACGGUUGAAUUGUAUCUCAUUUUCAUGUCGGGCCCUUUUAUAGUUGACUAUAUGGUAGGGAGUUUUCUUAAUAUUGAAG